CGCGAGCUGUUUGUGUUGUGUUUUCCACCGCCGCCCCCCUCCCCGCGAGCCCUUCCUCGCAGCCCUCCGGUCCCCCCGCUCAGACAAAACCCGGACUGGAUUUGUUUCCCCUACCCACGGCCUCCGAAAAUCGGGCGCUUCGGAGCAGCUGGCCCAGACGCCGGGCACACGCUCACCCGCGGCUGAUCAUUCCCUUCGGGGGGAGGAGGGCAGACUUCGCUGGAAGUAAGCUUGUCGGUCCAAGUCCGACUUGGAAGGAAGAGAUUUGCCGCAAGUCAUUUUAAUGGUCUCUGUGGUGCAGGGCGACUACUCGAGCUUGUGUGAAAUCGAGGAAAGUGCACCAACCCGAGAUUUGGGGUCAGCUCCUAAUAGGAAUCAUCAGACUCAUUUGGAUUUUUGAAAUACUGUUUCAUGACAUUGCCUGCCAAUCUCGCAGUCUCUCUGCACACAGCAUUCUAGGCCCUGCCUCUUGAGCUGUCUUGCCACUGUGUUAAGUCUGCCACCUCGGCAGAGCCCCUGCACAUCCGUUCCUGGCCCCACUGGGCCCCAGAGGCCGCCCUCUGGAUGGGAGAAAGAGACUGGCCUUGGUGUUGGGACCAUUAAUGUCACAAACAGGUUUGGACCAAGGAAUUGGAUGGAGUGUAACGUGAAAUUUGAAUGAAAACUUGCCUCAGCGAGCGUUUCCAGCGUUGCAGUGGACUCCAUGCUCUCCCCCUGGUAGG